UUUAUUUUUUUUUUUUUUUUAAUAAUAUGCGUCUCUGGGAACAUGUCCUUUUGGCAAGUUUUGUUUAAAUGCAAGUAAUGAAAUUUUUUUCUAUUGAAAAAGAAGAAAUAGUACUGGUUUGGUUUUAGCUCUCCUCACGUGAAAGCACACCAGUUGCUGCAUCAUUGGCCUUUUAAUAAAGUAAAUUGUAUGGAUUUCAUUAUCACCUUAAAAUUCAGUUUCAUUUAAGUGAUAUAUCAAAGUUUACAUGAAAAUUAAUUAACUGUUGUCCACAGCCAAGAACAACAUGCAUCUUUAAUGUUUCAGCCAAAAGAGAAAAAAAAAAUUGUAUAGUCUUAACUUUGAUGAAUUUUUUUUUUUUUGUAGCUUUUAGGACCUUCUGCCUGGUUAACUAUUUUGCUUGAUGAAUUUCCAAACUGUUUGUGAUCCCCCUCUCCCACCUUAUAUCACAGUCAAACACACAUACACAAUUUGUUUAAUGCAUUUUUAGUUAAAUCUGUAUUCCUGGUACCUUGUCUUUGUGAAGUACAUGGGGGAAUUGGGAUGCCAUUUUGAGGUUUAUCGGAAUGACGAGUUAACUGUGGAAGAGUUAAAAAGGUAAGAACUUGUAGUAGUAAAUUGGCGCUUGCUAGUCCUUAUAUCUUGCAUCAUGAUAUUUUAGGUGGUGAAUGACAUUGAGGUGUUCAUUGUAUUUAUUGAUAAUAUAUGUAAUUUUGGCUUUGAAUUUUAAUAGGAAAAAUCCAAGAGGGUUGCUUAUAUCCCCAGGACCAGGCACACCACAAGAUUCUGGCAUAUCAUUACAAACUGUUUUGGAGCUUGGACCUCUGGUGCCUUUAUUUGGUGUGUGUAUGGGACUGCAGUGCAUUGGAGAGGCUUUUGGAGGGAAGGUUGUGCGUUCCCCUUAUGGUGUCAUGCAUGGGAAAUGCUCUCUUGUUUAUUAUAAUGAGAAAGGGGAAGAUGGCUUGUUUUCUGGGUUACCAAACCCAUUCACUGCUGGGAGAUAUCAUAGCUUAGUGAUUGAAAAGGAGAGUUUCCCUAGUGAAGAACUUGAGAUUACAGCAUGGACAGAGGAUGGACUAAUAAUGGCUGCUCGUCACAAAAAGUAUAAGCAUCUGCAGGGGGUACAGUUCCAUCCAGAAAGCAUUAUAACAUCAGAAGGCAAGACUAUUGUUCGCAAUUUCAUCAAACUGAUAGAGAGAAAAGAGGCUGUAUCUCAAAACUAGUAAACGUAUCAUGGUAUGCGAUAAAUGGAAAAAAUAGGUGGGGAAAGGUGUAGCUCGUGGUCUGGUGUUUCUCAUUCCUGACCUUUCCAUAAGGUUGUUUUCAUUAUCUGUACAAUGCAUCAGGGGAUUGCUACUUAAAUAUUUAAUUAAUAAAUAGUCUUCAUAAUUAAAAUAAUUUCUAUUGUUGUAGUUGAAGCAAAAUUUUUCUUUAAUAAUUCAGGGGCACAACACAUUUCUAGAAAGAAAGCCCUUCUCAUCUCAGCUUUCUGUGCUGCCUCUAGCAUCCCACUUGAUGUGGCAUCAGUUUAUUUGUUAUCAAUUCUUAUUUGUUCAAUAACUUUUGAACUCAUAUUGCUGACAUAUAUCAAUCUUUCUGUGCUAAGUAGUACAAAGAGGCAGUAUAUAUAUUGGUAGUACAAGUAGGUCUUGAAAUAUGAUAACGAGAACUUUUUAUUUUCCGUUACUGAUUUAAAGCUAGUUUAGAAUUGGUAGGAAAGUGAUGAUUCAAGUUGGGUUUCUGCCGUUGUGUCUGAAUUAGCUUAGCCUUGACAUAACUGGAGGCUGCAAAAUGGGCAAAGAGUCCAAUGGCAAGAAACCAAACCACCAUUUAAAUUUUCUUCAGGGAAAAGAAAAGGUAUUUAGAGCUUUUGAUUUAUUUUUCUUAAUGAAGAAUGUAUUUUGGUUGUCAUUGUUCUAAUUGUGACACCAUGUAUCUCCCUCACAGCAACACCUCUGCAGUUAGAUGAAUUAAAGGGUUUGCGGGAAAACUACAGAAUGAAAUUUUGAGACUGUUUAUGGAACUUUUCGAUAUGGUUAGAUUUGUGAAGAUAAAGCCUAUUAGCUGUUGAAAGUCGAUUUCAACUCUUGACAGCUUGCUCUGUAGCUUUUUUCUACUUUUUCUAAUCAUGCCCUUGAUUUGCAGCUUGCAUGAGCUUCUUGAGAUGCCUUCAACUCCUUUGUUGCUGUGAUAAUCUACCAUAAUCCAAUAAUUUGUGUGCUGCGCUACCCACUUUAUGAGAUGCUUUUCGUCACUUCAUGCUGCUUUGUAAUUGAUGACCCCAUCAGCAACCACUAAGUAUUCUUGCAUUAGAAAAGAUGUAGAUAAUAUACCGUUUUAAGACAGAUUAUGCUAAACUCUCACAUUUUAUAUCUCCCAACAAAUCUUAUUAGUGUGAAAUGCUACAAAAUAAUUUAAAGUUUGAUGGAGAAAUGCUGUCAAAGGCUUAAUUUAGCAAAAA
rnacentral:misc_RNA from 1 species